AGGGAAAGUUGCAAAGAACUUUGAAGAGAGAGUUCAAGAGGGCGUGAAACCACUUAGGCGCAAACAGGCGGAGCUGAUGGUCGCUGGCAGGAUUCAGCCUUGCAGUAGUUGUCGUGCUGCUCUCUGAUCGACUAGACAGAGUGUGGUCUAGAUUGUUAGUGCAAGGUGCAUUUCUUGUCAGUGAGCACUGUGAGCAGUGACUCUACUAGAAGUAUCCAGCUGGUAGUGGGCUGGCUUGCCAGUGUCCUCACAGCAGGUGAAACUGAGUUAGUUUUACUGAAAACAAGACAUCCGCAUCGAGUUUGGUAGCAUGGAGGCAUGGGCGAUUGACUUGUCUGGAAACUGCUUGCAUGUUCCAGCGCAUCUUGUCCAUGUCAAAGUGUGAUCCGAGUGAUGUCAGUUACAGUGUCUGCGUCAGCCAACCGCCUGACCCGUCUUGAAACACGGACCAAGGAGUCUAACAUGUGCGCGAGUUAUUGGGUGACAAACUCGAAAGCGUAAUGAAGGUAAAGGCCAAUUCGGUUGGCUGAGGUGAGAUCCGCAGCUUGCUGUGGCGCACCACCAUCCCAUCCUAUCUGCUUGUCAGUGGGGUGGAGAUAGAGCGUACACGUUGGGACCCGAAAGAUGGUGAACUAUGCCUGAGCAAGAUGAAGCCAGAGGAAACUCUGGUGGAAGUCUGUAGCGAUUCUGACGUGCAAAUCGAUCGUCAGACUUGGGUAUAGGGGCGAAAGACUAAUCGAACCAUCUAGUAGCUGUUU
rnacentral:rRNA from 1 species